AUUGUCAGCUUAACCUAGUCUAGUUUGAAAAAAGUAUUGCAUUGUAAAAUGCUCUUUCCACUGUCCUGUUCAGGAAAAAUGACUUGGGCUAAACCAAAUAUUGAGUUACCAACUAUUUCAAUUGCCAUAUUCAUUAUCUCCUAUGAAGUAUAAGCAUUCUUCUUGUGUUUGUAGGACCUUGGAAUUACAUUCUAAAUGACUACCAUGGAAACAUGUAGAACAUCAUGUCCUGUUUUUGUCUUUGUGGGUCAUUUUCAUCAAAUGUUUAGUAAUUUCAUUGCCCUUGCAUAAUUAGGUGAAGAAGCUCCACCCGAGCGUCCAUGGGUCAGCUAUGUGGACUCUAGCUGCCAAAGGCGCUUCUCCUUCUGAACAGAGCGCUUUGCUCAGCCAGUGUAGACAUGGCCUGAUAAACAAUGGAACUUCUCCCUUGAGAACUGGAGUUUGGAUUGAUCUAAUUCUUUAACUCAGAAGUGUGCACAGGUUUGAUAAGUGGUUAAAAUGUGUGUAUUUUAGUGAAAUGGGAGCUUAAAUUAACAGUCGUGUGAAGAAUAACAAUGUAUAGCAAACGUAAAAGACAGUAGUACUCACUGUUGCAAAAACUAAUCAAGGGACUAUCAAAUCAAAUUUUAAUGUGCAUUUAAAUAUCUGUGCCAGGGAGGUUGUUCUUGCAGGUUUCUAUCUGUCAAGCCUUAACACUAAACCUGUCAGAGUGCAACAUGGGAGUGUCACUUUUAACCAGGAUGUCACAUACACUGUGAGAAACAACCUGCUUUGUGUUUUCUUUCUUACCAGGAAAAGCAAAUGUAAAAAGGAUUUUUCUUUUAACACUGCAUUUUUCUUUUGCAGAUUCUCGGGCUGAUGCUGUUAAGUGAUGGAGUGGGUUGCCAACUGUAGUUGCUGCACUCAGCGCCUAAUGGCUCUGGGGAACAUACUCAGACAUGCCCAGAGAAGUCUGCCUGGGGUGAAACAAGUACCCUUGAGGUUUAUAUCAGGAUGAAGUUGGGCUUAAUAGCCUAGGCUUACUUCACUAAGAAACUACACAAUUUCUGUUGCUAUGUUUUGUUAGAAAGGAAGGAGAGGCUGUUUCUACAGGUGUCAUAGAAAAAUCAAUACCAAGCUACGGAUUAUUGGAUCCCAUAGAACCAUGGAGACUUGGCAGUGAAAUUCUUCCAAAGAUUUCUCAGAGUUGAAAAACCAUAUAUAACACAUUGGUUGUUUUACUGCGUCGGUUAGCAUUCCAUCCGUGCAGGCAAAUGGUGUUCCCAGGCUGGAAGUAUCAAUCCCAGGGGAAGUCAACUGAAGAACAUUUUAUGCAUCACUCAUCCUAUUAUGAGCCUUGUGCUACUCUCUCUCUACAAGACUGGCUGGAAGAACAACCGAAGUUUCUUUUAUAAUUUGUACUCCAAUACUGAAUCACCCUAGUUAAUACUCUAACUGUGGUAAUACCCAAAUGAGAGUGAUCUAUCAAAAAGAUCAUCUUUUAGAAGGAUGCUACUGCAUUAUUAAUAAACUAACAGAAGAUGCAUCACUUUCGAUAUCCCAUCUGAUGAGUGGUGACUGAUCAUACCCGCCAGCUGGCUAAUAUCAUAAUUAACGAAGUUGGUGCGACGUCUGCAAAGUUUAAUCGGAACAUUUACCAGCGAUGUGAUGGCAUCGUUACGAAGAUCACAAGGGACCUGGCCGUGACUUUUGCCCAAGGAGGAAUGGCAAAGCUGUGCAGGCGAAAUGAGAAAUUGCAAACUUGUUCAGCCAAAGAAAUGCAACUACAUAGUUUUUGAUGCUGAUAAGGGACUACGAAGCGGUAUUUUGCUGUUAUAUCUAGCAAUCUCUAUCAGCUUUGUGAAUAACUGGCCGGUAACAACUGUUAGUUGAACAUUUACAUUGGGUGGCUUUUGGUCAACAAUGUAGAAACCAUUGCUCGGCUUUAUUCUUGCACCAACCUAGUUACAGAAGAAGAAA